rnacentral:ncRNA from 1 species
AGGUUCCGCGGAGUGCCGGUGAAAAGGGAAACAGGUGAGAAUCCUGUGCGAACUCGUCACUGUGACACGGAGCGGCCGCGAAAGACCACUGGGAGACCGGGAAGGGCGCGGCUGCGUUGAAAUCCAGCCAGGAGACCUGCCUGAUGUUUC